AAAGACCAAAAUACUUCUAAUUUUAAACAUUGAAAUAAAUGUGAGCUAUACAUGCAUUUAAGAAAGAUGAUAAAAAUAAAUCAUUACUCAUUUUUUG